AGUAAGGAAUAUUGCGCAAUGGGCGAAAGCCUGACGCAGCGACGCCGCGUGGGGGAUGAAGGUCUUCGGAUUGUAAACCCCUUUCGGGAGGGAAGAUGGGAUGGGGUAACCCAUUCGGACGGUACCUCCAGAAGCAGCCACGGCUAACUUCGUGCCAGCAGCCGCGGUAAUACGAAGGUGGCAAGCGUUGUUCGGAUUUACUGGGCGUACAGGGAGCGUAGGCGGUUGGAUAAGCCCUCCGUGAAAUCUCCAGGCUUAACCUGGAAAGUGCAGAGGGGACUGUUCAGCUAGAGGAUGGGAGAGGAGCGCGGAAUUCCCGGUGUAGCGGUGAAAUGCGUAGAGAUCGGGAGGAAGGCCGGUGGCGAAGGCGGCGCUCUGGAACAUUUCUGACGCUGAGGCUCGAAAGCGUGGGGAGCAAACAGG
rnacentral:rRNA from 1 species